GACAGAGGAUGCAAGCGUUAUCCGGAAUGAUUGGGCGUAAGCGUCUGUGAGGUGGCUUUUUAAGUCCGCCGUCAAAUCCCAGGGCUCAACCCUGGACAGGCGGUGGAAACUACCAAAGCUGGAGUACGGUAGGGGCAGAGGGAAUUUCCGGUGGAGCGGUGAAAUGCGUAAAGAUCGGAAAGAAACACCAACGGCGAAAGCACUCUGCUGGGCCGACACUGACACUGAGAGACGAAAGCUAGGGGAGCGAAUGGG
rnacentral:rRNA from 1 species